rnacentral:rRNA from 1 species
GAUGAACGCUGGCGGCGUGCCUAAUACAUGCAAGUCGAGCGAACAGACAAGGAGCUUGCUCCUCUGACGUUAGCGGCGGACGGGUGAGUAACACGUGGAUAACCUACCUAUAAGACUGGGAUAACUUCGGGAAACCGGAGCUAAUACCGGAUAACAUGUUGAACCGCAUGGUUCAACAGUGAAAGACGGUCUUGCUGUCACUUAUAGAUGGAUCCGCGCCGCAUUAGCUAGUUGGUAAGGUAACGGCUUACCAAGGCAACGAUGCGUAGCCGACCUGAGAGGGUGAUCGGCCACACUGGAACUGAGACACGGUCCAGACUCCUACGGGAGGCAGCAGUAGGGAAUCUUCCGCAAUGGGCGAAAGCCUGACGGAGCAACGCCGCGUGAGUGAAGAAGGUCUUCGGAUCGUAAAACUCUGUUAUUAGGGAAGAACAAAUGUGUAAGUAACUAUGCACGUCUUGACGGUACCUAAUCAGAAAGCUACGGCUAACUACGUG